rnacentral:rRNA from 1 species
GAUGAACGCUAGCGGCAGGCUUAACACAUGCAAGUCGAGGGGCAGCACGGGUAGCAAUACCUGGUGGCGACCGGCGCAAGGGUGCGUAACGCGUGAGCAACAUGCCCUAUACAGGGGGAUAAUCCAGGGAAACUUGGUCUAAUAUCCCAUAGUAUUUAGAGGAGGCAUCUUCUAUAAAUUAAAGCUUCGGUGGUAUAGGAUUGGCUCGCGUGACAUUAGCUAGAUGGUGAGGUAACGGCUCACCAUGGCAAUGAUGUCUAGGGGUUCUGAGAGGAAGGCCCCCCACACUGGGACUGAGACACGGCCCAGACUCCUACGGGAGGCAGCAGUGAGGAAUAUUGGACAAUGGAUGGAAAUCUGAUCCAGCCAUGCCGCGUGCAGGAUGAAGGUCCUUGGGUUGUAAACGUGUCUUUUGGUACGGUAACGAAACGGCGAGCUCUAAUACAGUUUGCUAAUGACGGUACCGUAAGAAUAAGCACCGGCUAACCUACGUACG